rnacentral:rRNA from 1 species
CCUACGGGGGGCAGCAGUAGGGAAUAUUGCUCAAUGGGGGAAACCCUGAAGCAGCAACGCCGCGUGGCGGAUGCCGGUUUUCGGCUUGUCCCCUCCUUUUUUUCUCUCCGCUCCUGCCGGUCUCUCCCGCCUCCGCCCCGGCUACCUCCGUGCCAGCCGCCGCGGUCCUCCGGCGGGUGCCCGCGUUCCUCGGCCUCCCUGGGCGUCCCGCGCGCGUCGGCGGGCUCGCCCGUCCGCUGUGCCCUCCUCUGGCUUCCCCCUCGCCCUGCCUUUGCCCCUGUUCUUCUCGCGUCUG